GACGAACCGUGCGAACGUUGUUCGGAUUCACUGGGCUUAAAGGGCGCGUAGGCGGAUGGUCAAGUCGGGGGUGAAAUCUUUCAGCUUAACUGGAAAAGUGCCUCCGAUACUGACUGUCUCGAGGGAGGUAGGGGCAUGUGGAACUUCCGGUGGAGCGGUGAAAUGCGUAGAUAUCGGAAGGAACGCCGGUGGCGAAAGCGAACGUGCUGGACCUCUUCUGACGCUGGAGGCGCGAAAGCUAGGGGAGCAAACGGG
rnacentral:rRNA from 1 species